CACGAAGGGGGCUAGCGUUGCUCGGAAUCACUGGGCGUAAAGCGCACGUAGGCGGCUUUCUAAGUCAGGGGUGAAAUCCUGGAGCUCAACUCCAGAACUGCCUUUGAUACUGGAGAGCUUGAGUCCGGAAGAGGUGAGUGGAACUCCGAGUGUAGAGGUGAAAUUCGUAGAUAUUCGGAAGAACACCAGUGGCGAAGGCGGCUCACUGGUCCGGUACUGACGCUGAUGUGCGAAAGCGUGGGGAGCAAACAGG
rnacentral:rRNA from 1 species